rnacentral:lncRNA from 1 species
CUCCUCUUCAAUGAUUGAUCUUCUGCUCAAUUUUCUGCCCCCCUAUCCUCGGCUAAUUUAGAAUCAUAUUGAUGAUGCCAGCCAUAGGUCGAUUGCCAUUCUCCUUCUCGGGCUAGUGCUGAGUUGGCUCUUUUUGAUAGCUUGGUUUUUUCAGUCUCGAACAUAUUUUUCAUGGUAACCUCAACAAAUCAGGACUUUAAUUUUGUCCUGAUAACCUCAACAAAUCAGGGCUUUAAUUUUGUCUUGAUAACCUCAACAAAUCAGGG